rnacentral:rRNA from 1 species
UACGUAGGGCGCAAGCGUUGUCCGGAAUUAUUGGGCGUAAAGGGCUCGUAGGCGGCCAACUAAGUCAGACGUGAAAUCCCCAGGCUCAACCUGGGAACUGCGUCUGAUACUGGAUGGCUUGAAUCCGGGAGAGGGAUGCAGAAUUCCAGGUGUAGCGGUGAAAUGCGUAGAUAUCUGGAGGAAUACCGGUGGCGAAGGCGGCAUCCUGGACCGGCAUUGACGCUGAGGAGCGAAAGCUAGGGGAGCAAACGGG